ACACAAUCUCGAGACACUAGAGACCUCUUUCUGAAUAGUGCCAAUACAUUACGUUAUAUAACGUGGAAUUUUAUUAUAAAUUUACAAGAAUCUUUAUGCAAGGAUUGUUUACAUUAGUUACGUAAUUUUAUAAACAAUCUGGUGUUCUGAAACGUGGUAGCUUAGAAGGAAGAUUGAAGUCAAUACAGUCAACUGUAUUUUACGUUAUUACAUCAUACUAGUGUGCAUAGUUGCGAAGCAUACAUAUCAAUCUCCAGAAAGAUUUGAGACAUACAUAUUUGUGGAAGAAACAAUUAGCUGCAGAGGAGCAACUAAAAUCAAACAUUUAGAAUGCCAGCAUUAUCACCAGUGUCUAAACAAGCUCUAGCAACUGUUAUGUUUGUGUGUGUAAUAUACACUUCGCGCCAACUUUACAAAUAUGGCUCUGGGUUAUUGAUGAGUGACUAUCGUGAUAAAUCAGCUUUAUAUGGAAGAGAAUUAAAACCCGGAGAACCUCCAUCUUGGCCAUAAUUUACUCUUAUAUUAUGUUACAUUAUAUAUAAUAUAUUAGUUGUCUUCUAAAUACAUCUGUAUUUUAAAGAUAACUAUAUGUAUACAAAAUAAUAAAUUAGUAAAAGGAAAUAAUUCAUUAUUAUCAGUUAUAAUGGUUUCA